rnacentral:rRNA from 1 species
UACGAAGGGGGCUAGCGUUGCUCGGAAUUACUGGGCGUAAAGGGUGCGUAGGCGGGUUAUCAAGUUGGAGGUGAAAGCCCAGGGCUCAACCUUGGAAUUGCCUUCAAAACUGAUAGCCUAGAGUAUGAUAGAGGUAUGUGGAACUCCGAGUGUAGAGGUGAAAUUCGUAGAUAUUCGGAAGAACACCAGUGGCGAAGGCGACAUACUGGGUCAUGACUGACGCUGAGGCUCGAAAGCGUGGGGAGCAAACAGG